CUCGGCUCUGCUGGAACCGGCGCGCCCCGCGCCCGCCCCCGAGGAGCGGACCCGCAACGGGGGGCGAGAGGGAACGGCGGACGGAGCCGGCGAGGAGCCGGGUGAGUCCCGGGGAGGUGGGGAGGGGUCCCCGCGGUGUUGUCGCGGGUCGUUUCACCCGCAGCGUCUCCCACCCGCGCAGGGGAGCGAGCGCCGAGGGCCGGGGAGGCGCCCCCGGCCCGCUCCGAGCUGGGGCUGCGGCGGCCGCGGCACCCGGGGGUGGCUCCCGCCGAGGGCGGAGGGGACAAACGCAGCCCCCGAGCCCCCGGGAAGGUCACCAAGUCGGCGUCGGCCACCGCGCUGUCCGUCAUCAUCCCCAGCGGGGAGGCGCCCGGCUCGUCCCCCCUGGGCAGCCCCAUGUCGCCGCGGUCGCUGUCGUCGGACCCCUCGUCGCGGGACUCGUCACCGGGCCGGGAGCUGGCCCCGGCCGUGGCCGCCCCACCCCGCUCGCCCAUCGCCAUCCCCCGGCCCGGCAAGAAAUUCGGCUUCACCCUCCGGGCCAUCCGCGUCUACCUGGGCGACAGCGACGUGUACAGCGUGCACCACGUCGUCUGGGUCAGG
rnacentral:lncRNA from 1 species